GAGUGGCGAACUGGUGAGUAACACGUGGGAAACCUGCCCAGAAGCGGGGGAUAACACCUGGAAACAGAUGCUAAUACCGCAUAACAACUUGGACCGCAUGGUCCGAGCUUGAAAGAUGGCUUCGGCUAUCACUUUUGGAUGGUCCCGCGGCGUAUUAGCUAGAUGGUGGGGUAACGGCUCACCAUGGCAAUGAUACGUAGCCGACCUGAGAGGGUAAUCGGCCACAUUGGGACUGAGACACGGCCCAAACUCCUACGGGAGGCAGCAGUAGGGAAUCUUCCACAAUGGACGAAAGUCUGAUGGAGCAACGCCGCGUGAGUGAAGAAGGGUUUCGGCUCGUAAAACUCUGUUGUUAAAGAAGAACAUAUCUGAGAGUAACUGUUCAGGUAUUGACGGUAUUUAACCAGAAAGCCACGGCUAACUACGUGCCAGCAGCCGCGGUAAUACGUAGGUGGCAAGCGUUGUCCGGAUUUAUUGGGCGUAAAGCGAGCGCAGGCGGUUUUUUAAGUCUGAUGUGAAAGCCUUCGGCUCAACCGAAGAAGUGCAUCGGAAACUGGAAAACUUGAGUGCAGAAGAGGACAGUGGAACUCCAUGUGUAGCGGUGAAAUGCGUAGAUAUAUGGAAGAACACCAGUGGCGAAGGCGGCUGUCUGGUCUGUAACUGACGCUGAGGCUCGAAAGUAUGGGUAGCAAACAGGAUUAGAUACCCUGGUAGUCCAUACCGUAAACGAUGAAUGCUAAGUGUUGGAGGGUUUCCGCCCUUCAGUGCUGCAGCUAACGCAUUAAGCAUUCCGCCUGGGGAGUACGGCCGCAAGGCUGAAACUCAAAGGAAUUGACGGGGGCCCGCACAAGCGGUGGAGCAUGUGGUUUAAUUCGAAGCUACGCGAAGAACCUUACCAGGUCUUGACAUACUAUGCAAAUCUAAGAGAUUAGACGUUCCCUUCGGGGACAUGGAUACAGGUGGUGCAUGGUUGUCGUCAGCUCGUGUCGUGAGAUGUUGGGUUAAGUCCCGCAACGAGCGCAACCCUUAUUAUCAGUUGCCAGCAUUAAGUUGGGCACUCUGGUGAGACUGCCGGUGACAAACCGGAGGAAGGUGGGGAUGACGUCAAAUCAUCAUGCCCCUUAUGACCUGGGCUACACACGUGCUACAAUGGAUGGUACAACGAGUUGCGAACUCGCGAGAGUAAGCUAAUCUCUUAAAGCCAUUCUCAGUUCGGAUUGUAGGCUGCAACUCGCCUACAUGAAGUCGGAAUCGCUAGUAAUCGCGGAUCAGCAUGCCGCGGUGAAUACGUUCCCGGGCCUUGUACACACCGCCCGUCACACCAUGAGAGUUUGUAACACCCAAAGUCGGUGGGGUAACCUUUUAGGAACCAGCCGCCUAAGGUGGGACAGAUGAUUAGGGUGAAGUCGUAACAAG
rnacentral:rRNA from 1 species